UGGGGAAUUUUGGACAAUGGGGGCAACCCUGAUCCAGCCAUGCCGCGUGAGUGAAGAAGGCCUUCGGGUUGUAAAGCUCUUUUGUCCGGGAAGAAAGGGCCUCUCCUAAUACGGGGGGUUGUUGACGGUACCGGGAGAAUAAGCACCGGCUAACUACGUGCCAGCAGCCGCGGUAAUACGUAGGGUGCGAGCGUUAAUCGGAAUUACUGGGCGUAAAGCGUGCGCAGGCGGUCCGAUGAAGUCCGAUGUGAAAGCCCCGGGCUCAACCUGGGAAUGGCAUUGGAAACUGGCGGGCUGGAGUUUGGCAGAGGGGGGUGGAAUUCCUGGUGUAGCAGUGAAAUGCGUAGAGAUCAGGAGGAACACCGAUGGGCGAAGGCAGCUCCCUGGGCUGGAACUGACGCUCAGGCACGAAAGCGUGGGGAGCAAACAGGAUUAGAUACCCUGGUACGUCCACGCCCUAAACGAUCGAACGACUGGUUGUUGGGGAAGUUGUCCUUAGUAACGAGCUAAGCGUGAAGUCGU
rnacentral:rRNA from 1 species